UUGCCUUCAUGGAGUAUUCUCUGAGGGCUGGCUUAUAUUUAUAUACACACGAAGAAAACUUUCAAUGCAUACUUCGAGUACAUUCGCAGUCAAAUGAACUACUAAUAUUUCUUCUGAACUUCGCCACUAACGGACAUUCUAUUGAAUCAGUAUCUUUCGUAUUGGAGGAGUAUCUUGAAGAACCUAAUUAAACUAUGGCUCAAGAUUUUACGAAGAACGUUUUGAAUCAAUACCUCAGAUACGUGAAUAAUUUGUCGUCGCAAAGCAAGUCAUUACAAACUGGUGAAGGAUGCUUUCUUGGUGUAACGGCAGCACACUCGGCGCGUAUUCGAGUCCUGGCAAAGGCUAAGGUUCGAGUCCUGGCAAAGGCAUUGCACACUCUUCACCUCCACUUCUUCAGAAAACCUAAUGACUCUACAAAAGGCCCCGAACUAAAAGGUGGUGAACAAUAAUUCGUCGCCUUCAGGAUUUAGCGAUUGGAUCCCCUAAUCCCUAGCCGCCCUUUAAAAGGGGAAGUAUAUAAGGUAUUUUCUUCCUCCUUUCUGCAGGCCUUCGUGGUGUAACGGUAGCACAUUCGGCACGUACUCGAGUGGUCCAGUUUCGAGUCUAAGUGCAUUGCUCACUUUUCCUGUCUUCUCCUUCAAAAGAAAAAAAAAAAAAAAAAAAAAAAAA